CUCAGAUUGAACGCUGGCGGCAUGCCUUACACAUGCAAGUCGAACGGUAACAGGUCUUCGGAUGCUGACGAGUGGCGAACGGGUGAGUAAUACAUCGGAACGUGCCCGAUCGUGGGGGAUAACGGAGCGAAAGCUUUGCUAAUACCGCAUACGAUCUACGGAUGAAAGCAGGGGACCGCAAGGCCUUGCGCGGACGGAGCGGCCGAUGGCAGAUUAGGUAGUUGGUGGGAUAAAAGCUUACCAAGCCGACGAUCUGUAGCUGGUCUGAGAGGACGACCAGCCACACUGGGACUGAGACACGGCCCAGACUCCUACGGGAGGCAGCAGUGGGGAAUUUUGGACAAUGGGCGAAAGCCUGAUCCAGCCAUGCCGCGUGCAGGAUGAAGGCCUUCGGGUUGUAAACUGCUUUUGUACGGAACGAAAAGACUCCUUCUAAUAAAGGGGGUCCAUGACGGUACCGUAAGAAUAAGCACCGGCUAACUACGUGCCAGCAGCCGCGGUAAUACGUAGGGUGCAAGCGUUAAUCGGAAUUACUGGGCGUAAAGCGUGCGCAGGCGGUUAUAUAAGACAGAUGUGAAAUCCCCGGGCUCAACCUGGGAACUGCAUUUGUGACUGUAUAGCUAGAGUACGGUAGAGGGGGAUGGAAUUCCGCGUGUAGCA
rnacentral:rRNA from 1 species